ACAUAGGUUCUUCUUAGAACCAUAUUAUUAGCACGAAAGUUGUAA
rfam:Gallus gallus isolate RJF #256 breed Red Jungle fowl, inbred line TCD001 chromosome 11, whole genome shotgun sequence.